rnacentral:tRNA from 1 species
ACCAACUAACUAAUGUGCCGCAAGCCCAUCUCUUAGCAUACCCUUGCGGGUCUUUUAAAAGUUUCAAGAUGCCUUAA